rnacentral:rRNA from 1 species
AACGAACGCUGGCGGCAGGCUUAACACAUGCAAGUCGAGCUCCCCGCAAGGGGAGCGGCAGACGGGUGAGUCACGCGUGGGAAUCUACCCAUCUCUACGGAAUAACGCAUGGAAACGUGUGCUAAUACCGUAUACGUCCUUCGGGAGAAAGAUUUAUCGGAGAUGGAUGAGCCCGCGUUGGAUUAGCUAGUUGGUGGGGUAAAGGCCUACCAAGGCGACGAUCCAUAGCUGGUCUGAGAGGAUGAUCAGCCACACUGGGACUGAGACACGGCCCAGACUCCUACGGUAGGCAGCAGUGGGGAAUAUUGGACAAUGGGCGCACGCCUGAUCCAGCCAUGCCGCGUGAGUGAUGAAGGCCCUAGGGUGGUAAAGCUCUUUCACCGGUGAAGAUAAUGACGGUAACCGGAGAAGAAGCCCCGGCUAACUUCGUGCCAGCCGCCGCCGUAAGAC